CGCACAUUGCGCCCUUUGGUAUUCCAAAGGGCAUGCCUGUUCGAGCGUCAUUUGUACCCUCAAGCUUUGCUUGGUGUUGGGCGUUUUUUGUCUUUGGCCUGCCCAAAGACUCGCCUCAAAACGAUUGGCAGCCGGCCUCCUGGUUUCGCAGCGCAGCACAUUUUUGCGCUUGCAAUCAGCAAUAGAGGACGGCACUCCAUCAAGACUCGUUUAUCACUUUUGACCUCGGAUCAGGUAGGGAUACCCGCUGAACUUAA
rnacentral:misc_RNA from 1 species